rnacentral:misc_RNA from 1 species
GCGAUUUCUUAAUGAAAUCAUAAAACGAGGACAUAUCCUUUGCAGGGUCGACUCCUUUCUUUUCCGUGAAAUCAAUGAUGCCCUUUAACACCGCGAUCUCAUCAUCCUCGCUCCAGAGACGUUGGAACAGCUGUUUCUUUGUAUCCUCNCUUUUCAACAACUCCAUCGGAUUCCGAAUCUUUAUUCUUGCCUCGCUUUGAGUCUUUCGGGUCGCGAUCUGUUUCACUGGCCCUCUUCACAGCUGCCGC